rnacentral:rRNA from 1 species
GAUGAACGCUGGCGGCGUGCUUAACACAUGCAAGUCGAACGUGAUCCAGUAGCAAUAUUGGUGAAAGUGGCGGACGGGUGAGUAACACGUGGGUGACCUGCCUUGCAGUGGGGGAUAACGAGGGGAAACCUUCGCUAAUACCGCAUAGGCUUACACUGAUGAGAAUGGUGUGGGUAAAACUGAGGUGCUGCAAGAGGGGCCUGCGUCCGAUUAGCUAGUUGGUGAGGUAACGGCUCACCAAGGCGAUGAUCGGUAGCUGGUCUGAGAGGACGAUCAGCCACACGGGAACUGAGAAACGGUCCCGACUCCUACGGGGGGCAGCAGUGAGGAAUAUUGGGCAAUGGGCAAACGCCUGACCCAGCAACGCCGCGUGGAGGAUGAAGGUUUUUGGAUUGUAAACUCCUUUUGUGGGGAAGAGUGAGGACGGUACCCCAAGAAUAAGUCACGGCUAACUACGUG